ACUUCUAGAGGAAAGUAGUAAUCCAUUGGUCUUAGGCACCAAAAAUCUUGGUGCAACUCCAAGUAAAAGUA
rnacentral:tRNA from 1 species